rnacentral:rRNA from 1 species
CAGUAGCCGCGGUAAUACGUAGGUGGCAAGCGUUGUCCGGAAUUAUUGGGCGUAAAGGGCUCGCAGGCGGUUUCUUAAGUCUGAUGUGAAAGCCCCCGGCUCAACCGGGGAGGGUCAUUGGAAGCUGGGAAACUUGAGUGCAGAAGAGGAGAGUGGAAUUCCACGUGUAGCGGUGAAAUGCGUAGAGAUGUGGAGGAACACCAGUGGCGAAGGCGACUCUCUGGUCUGUAACUGACGCUGAGGAGCGAAAGCGUGGGGAGCGAACAGGAUUAGAUACCCCCGUAGUCCCUGUCUCUUAUAC